GCCGGGCGUGGUGGCGCACGCCGGUAGGAUUUGCUGGGAGGCAGAGGCAGGCAGAUUUUUGAGUUCAAGGCCAGCCUGGUCUACAAAGUGAGUUCCAGGACAGCCAGGGCUACACAGAGAAACCAUCUCAAAAAAACAUCUCAAAAAAAAAAAAAAAAAAAAGAAGCUAAAAUAGUUUUCAAUUCUGUUCUGAACAAACUCCUUCCUUAAUCAGUAGAAGUAAAGACUUCAAAAUAAUGCUUCGGUGUGUUGCCAACACCUUUAAUUCCAGCACACGACACUUGGGAGGCACAAGCAAGCAGGUGGCUCUCUGAGUUCAAAGCCAGCCUGGUCUACUCAGCAAAUUCCAGGCCAGCCAGGGUUAACAUGGCGAUAUCUUGACUCAUACAAAACAAAACUUGCUUAGCCUGCUCUUUUAGAGUCAGUCUUUUUCUUAUAGUUGCUACUCUGAAAACGAGAAACCCCCAAGAUGGAUGUAAUUGUGACAUUCAUAAUCAUCCAUGGAUUUGCAGUUCAUUCCCAGGGAACCUGGGUACGCUCCGAAGUGCACGGAACGCGUUAUGAGCAGUAUAAAGCACAGGAAGAUGGGCAUCUCCGCCCGGGGGUGUAGCUGACUUGAGUGUAUGCUUAGCAAGGCCUUGGGUUGGUUCAGUGCCCUAUAUUGCUUGCCUUCCUGAAAGGCACUGGGUCCUCAAAAGAAGGCUGAAAUAAAAAUGCUCCCUUAAUAUUAUUUUAUUACCUCAGUAGUAACCAUUGAAAAGUAAAAUUUCUGAGCAUGGUUGUACACUUCUUGAAUUCUAGCAGUCAGGAGGCAGAGGUAGGAGAAUCCCUGUGGGUGUGAGGCCACCCUGGUCUACAAAGUAAGUCCAGGAUAGCCAGGGCUUGUUACACAGAGAAACCAUGUCUCAAAAAACCAACUGACCAACCAACCAAAAGAAAAAAAAAACAUUUGAAACAUCAUGGUGAAUGCCUAUAAUCCCAGCUUUUGGGAGGUUGAAGCAGGAGGAUUGCUAAGAAUUAGAGGCCAGCUAGAACUUAGUGAGGCUUUGUUUCGAAAUCAAAAAUAAAGAAAUUGGAACACAAAUAGCAAGGCAUCACUCAUUUUUAUUGAAUGGGAAGGAGUUUAGAGAGGUGCUCAGGGGUUAAGAUCACUGACUGUCUUUGCAGAAGACCUGGGUUCGAUCCCAGCACCCAUAUGUCGCCUCAUGUCCCUACUCAAGCUAUACUGCUUUCUCUCAUGUGACACCCUCAUCUGGCCUUUGCAUGUAUGAGGCACACACAUGUUGCACAGACAUACAAGCAGGCAAAACAUGCAUGCACAUAAACUAAAAAUCAGUAAAUCAUUUAGGCAGUGGUGUUGUGAGCCUUUAAUCCCAGCACUCGGGAGGUAGAGUCAGGUGGAUCUCAGAGCUUGAGGCCAGCCUGGUCUACAGAGCAAGUUCCAGGAUAGCCAAGACCACAGAGAAACCCUGCUUCUAAAUAAGUAAAUAAACAAAUAACUAAAUUUUUUUUUAAAGAUUUAUUUAUUGAUUAUAUGUAAGUACACUGUAGCUGUCUUCAGACACUCCAGAAGAGGGAGUCAGAUCUCGUUACGGAUGGUUGUGAGCCACCAUGUGGUUGCUGGAAUUUGAACUCUGGACCUUCGGAAGAGCAGUCGGUGCUCUUACCCACUGAGCCAUCUCUCCAGCCCAAAUAACUAAAUUUUUAAAAAAUU
rnacentral:lncRNA from 1 species